rnacentral:rRNA from 1 species
UACGAAGGGGGCUAGCGUUGUUCGGAAUUACUGGGCGUAAAGCGCGCGCAGGCGGCUUCUCAAGUCAGUGGUGAAAGCCCGGAGCUCAACUCCGGAACUGCCAUUGAAACUGUGGAGCUUGAGGACGAGAGAGGUGAGUGGAAUUCCUGGUGUAGAGGUGAAAUUCGUAGAUAUUGGGAAGAACACCGGUGGCGAAGGCGGCUCACUGGCUCGUUUCUGACGCUCAGGCGCGACAGCGUGGGGAU